AUCUCGAUGACGAGUCCUAAACAGAACGAAAUGUGCAUUCUAGAU
rnacentral:hammerhead_ribozyme from 1 species